GGGGGGGGGGGGGGCAGUUGUGCGCGUUGGUGGUUGUUGGUGCGUCGGUGUAAUUUGUUUAAAAUUUUAAUUAAAAAAAUGAUGAGUGAGGUAUGGAUUGGCGUAAAAAAGUGUGUGCAUUGCGUUAAAUUUUUUUAAAUAAUAAAAUGUUUAAUUGUGGAGUGGAAAUACGGGAGUGACCAGUGGGGCGAAGGGAUCGAGGGGGGGGGGGUAGUUGUGCGCGUUCGUGGUUGUCGGUGGGCCGGUAAAAAGGCGUAAUUUGUUUAAGAAUGUUUAGAAUUUUAAUUAAAAAAAUAAUGAGUCGGGUUGUAAAUACAGUGGCCUAAGAAAGUGUGUGCCUGUUGUUUGAAUUGUGGCAUAAUUAAAUGGUUAAUUGGUUAGUGAGAAAUCAGGUGGAAUAUUAAGUGAGCAGUGUUUUUUUGGUGGUGGAUAGUCAGUGUUUUUUUUUUUUUUUUUUUUUUUUAAUGUGAAUUGUUGAAGUGAGCUGUGGAAAAGGAGGAAUGCUGAGACAGCAGGCGACACAUUGCAGUUAUCCCGGUGAAGUGAGCUGUGGAAAAGGAGGAAUGCUGAGACAGCAUUCAACAGCAGGCGACAGUUUGCAGUAUGCAGUUUGCAGUAUGCAGUUUGCAGUUGAUAUCUCGGUGAAGUGAGCUGUGGAAAAGGAGGAAUGCUGAGACAGCAUUCAACAGCAGGCGACAGUUUGCAGUAUGCAGUUUGCAGUAUGCAGUUUGCAGUUUGCAGUUGAUAUCUCGGUGAGUCAAAAAUUAAAGAAUUUUUAUUUAAUGUUAAGCAAUUGUGAUAAAUUUUGAAUUAUUUGUCACAAAUGUUUAACGAUGCUCAUGAUGAGCUUCUAGUGGAUAAGAGGUACGUUUGUCAGUUGUGAGAAAUUAAAAUUAAUUAAUAAAGUGAAGCUAGCCAGAGUUGGGGUUUUUGAAUUAAUUAGAGAAUUAGUUCUUAAUUGGGUUUUAUAUAAUUUUUUGGUGUGGUCAGUAGAAAUAAAAUGUUGAAAAAGGUUUUUUUGAAAAAGUAGUUUUUGUAAUUUGUCAUGCACUGUUGGACUCAGCUGUCACAUAUACUGGGGGUUGUAGGAAGGGGUGUUUUUGGGGGGGGGGCGGUGGGAAAUGAAGACGGGCGUUGCUGUAGAAUUCAGCGGCCGCCGUCAGAUCCCGCACUUUAUCCGUCGGACUCGGACGUGCAUUAUUGAUGAUACCCGUCGGAGUGCGACCUGUAUCCUGAAUUACCCGUCGUACUUGACUGUGGUGAAGUGCGACGUGGAGUCCCGUUUUGUAUAUGCCCUGUAUAUUGGGCGGUAAAAAGCGCGUAAAUUUAGGGUGGAGGGGAAUGAAGACGGGGGGACCGUCCAGAAUUCGACGGCCUCCUUGUCGGAGCCCCCGGGGUUUUGUUCCGUCGGAGUUGGACAGCGAGGAAAAGGUGUCUGAUUCCGACGAAUCGUGUCCACGAAUUGAGCCAUCGUGUAUUAUAUAGGGGUGGAAAAUAUUUUUUGGACAAGCCUCGACGCAUUGAAUUGAAUGCGGAGGUUUAGUAUAUGCGGCGGCGGCGGCUAGUUUGGGUGGAAUGGUAAAUUAUAAGAAAUGAAUAUUUGAAGAAAGCUUUUUGAGGAUGAAAUGAAUAAUUAGUAAAAAAAUAAUUGAGUGGGAUGGUUAGCUUGACAGGUGGAUAUUUGUUAGUCGGAAUUUAGUAAUUUGCAUUGUAAAAGAUUUCUCACAAAUGAUGAAUAACCGUAAAGAGAACCUCGGGGGGAGGAGCAUUUAAAUGUAAAAGUGAUAAGGUAGUAAAAAUGUUUAACAUCUGUUAUGGGGAGAAAUAUAAAUUGAAAAUGUAUUUUUCAUUGCUAUUUCAUCGAGCCUGAGAAAUAUUUAACAAGGCUGAUAAAGAAUUGGGUUUUUUUUUUUGUGGGGGAUUUUAGUGAUGAACCCGGGGGUUGAUCGCUGUGAAAGUUGUAAGGUACUGUUAAUGGUAUAAAUAUAAAUUUGUAAUUUUUUUGAAUUGAUAUUAAAUGGCGUGAGCAUGUUUUUAUGAAUAGAGAGAGUUAGAAGCGAAGUUUUGCAAAGCCUAGUCAUAAUGAAGUUGUAAGGGUUUCGCUAGAUGGUGUCAGUCAAGAAAUUGGUGGCCCUGCGAAACUUGUCACCCUUCAGACUAGAUUUGUUUACCUUUGCAAUAAAAUUGUUAGACUGGUUAGGAUAUUUUGAUGAAUAGAGAUUGAGAAUAGAGAGAGUUAGAAGCGAAGUUUUGCAAAGCCUAGUCAUAAUGAAGUUGUAAGGGUUUCGCUAGAUGGUGUCAGUCAAGAAAUUGGUGGCCCUGCGAAACUUGUCACCCUUCAGACUAGAUUUGUUUACCUUUGCAAUAAAAUUGUUAGACUGGUUAGGAUAUUUUGAUGAAUAGAGAUUGAGAAGAGAGAGAGAGUUAGAAGCGAAGUUUUGCAAAGCCUAGUCAUAAUGAAGUUGUAAGGGUUUCGCUAGAUGGUGUCAGUCAAGAAAUUGGUGGCCCUGCGAAACUUGUCACCCUUCAGACUAGAUUUGCUUACCUUUGCAAUAAUAUGGUUAGACUGGUGAGGAUAUUUUUAUGGAUAGAGAUUGAGAAGAGAGAGAGUUAGAAGCUAGGUUUUGCAACAGUUAGUCAGAAUAAAGUCGUAAGAAUGUCACAAGAGGGUUUAAAUGAAGGAAUACUUAGCAAGGCGUGUGAAAAAUAGGGUUUUUAAAAUUGAUAAAAAUUUUUUGUCGGGUUGUCAGGUGUUAAAUUCAGAAGGUAUUGAAAAUGGGUGAAAUAAAAAUUUUGAAAAUAGGUUUAAUGGAUAUUCCAUGGUGUGAGACGAAUAUUUAGCAAAGCGUGUGAAAAAUUGAGUUUUUUAAAAUGAUUUUAAUGUUUUGCGGGGUUGUCAGGUGUUAAAUUGGUAACAUAUGGAAAAUUUUGAACCAAUGUUGGUAAUUGGUUAGAGCGCGGGUGACUUGUUCCACACGUCGAUAACUAGUCUGUCGGUAAGAGUAUUGGACGGUCGGUAUCUCGGCGAUGGGUAAAUAGUCGACGAAGUGUAAUGACGUGACAGGGUUAUCAGCCGUCAAACUUUUACCGUAUUGAAAAUAGUUAAAAUAAAAAUUUUAAAAAUAGCUUUAAUGGAUAUUAAAUGGUGUGAGACGAAUAUUUAGCAACGCGUGUGAAAAAUAGUGUUUUUGUUAUAUUGAUUUUGAUGUUUUGUGGGUUUGUUAUCAGUUAAACAGGUAAGUAUUGAAAAUUGUUGAAAUAAAAUUUUUUAAAAUAGCUUUAAUGGAUAUUAAAUGGUGUGAGACGAAUAUUUAGCGACGCGUAUGAAGAAUUCCGUUUUUUUAUAUUGAUUUUAAUGUUUUGCGGGGCUGUCAGCUGUUAAAUUUGCGACUUAUUGAAAAUGGUUAAAAUAAAAAUAGUUAAAAUAGUUUUAAUGGAUAUUAAAUGGCGUGAGACGAAUAUUUAGCGACGCGUAUGAAAAAUUCCGUUGUUUUUAUAUUGAUUUUCUGUCAGCUGUUAAAUUUGCGACUUAUUGAAAAUGGUUAAAAUAAAAAUAGUUAAAAUAGUUUUAAUGGAUAUUAAAUGGCGUGAGAUGAAUAUUCAGCAAGGCGUAUGAAAAAUUGGGUUUUUUAAAUUGAUUUUAAUGUUUUGGGGGGGUGUUAGCUAUAAAAUUUUUAACAUAUUGAAAAUAGUUGAAAUAAAAAUUAAAAAAAUAGGUUUAAUGGAUAUUAAAUGGUGUGAGACGAAUAUUGAGUAAGGCGUGUAAAAAAUAGUGUUUUUUAAUUGAUUUUAAAGCGUUGCGCGGUUGUCAGCUAUUAAAGUUGUAAAUAUUGAAAAUUUAGAAUGAGAUCGGUAAUCCGGUAGAGCGCGGGUGAGUUGUUCCACACGUUGAUAACUAGAUUGUCGGUAAUCCGAUUGGUCGGUCGGUAUUUGGGCUGUUGGUUAAACAGUGAUAAUAGUUUUAGGGGUAGCCGGUUCGAAGAGUCGAUAACUCGACUGAAGGUAAUGACAGUCGUCGGUCGGUAUGUCGGCGAUGGGUAAAGAGUGAUUACAGCUUUAGGGGUAACUGGUUUGAAGCGUCGAUAAUUUUCGCUGAUGGUAAUGCGAUUGGUAAUUUUUGACUUAUAUAUAAAAUAUAAAAUUGAAAUAAAUACUUAUAAUUAAUAUACAAAAUGGAAUAUUAAAUUAAUAUAUUAAUUUAUUAUUUAAAAUUAAAUGUAAGAAUACUUUGUUUUUUGAAUUAAAUUGAAUUGAAAAUUUUUUAAUUUAAUAAAUUUAGAUUGAAUAAUAUGUUUUAUUUGAAUUGUUUGAUAAAAAUAAAUUGCAAUAAUAAUUAGAAUUUCUAUUUAUAUUGUAAAUUUUUGAUUAUUGAUUUGAAUUUUAGGAGCUUUAUUUAGAAUGAAAUUUGAUUAUAAAAAUCAGAAGAUAUUGUUUAUGAAAUGAUAUAUGUUGAAUAUUAUUAUGUUUAAUAAUUAGAAUUGUUGUAUUUUGAAGUUGUUAUUUAUGAAUUAGAGAUUAGACAUUUGUUUUUUGUUCAUAAUAUAUUUAUAUAUAUUUGAUUAUUUAUAAGAAUAUGAUUAGGAGGAGUGCCCUCAUUUUUUCGGAUUUUUUCUAAAAUGGGUGUUUAUUAUAAAUUAACAUAUAUUAAACUUUUUAUUUAUAUUACUUCCGGUUUGGGUUAAAUUUUCUAAUAUUGAAUUAUUUAAUAAUAAAUGUGAUUUUUUUUUUCAAUAGAAAAUUUAAAGUUAAUUUUCUAUUAUAAAUUUAGAAAAUUGAUAAUAUAAUUAAAAAUGAUAAAUUUGAAAUGGUAAAGAAGAUUUUGUUUUCCUUUUAAAUAAAUUUGCAAUUUAAUGUUUAAUCUUGGUUUAUAUAUAGGUAUAGGUUAUCGAAUUAGAGUUGAGUCUUACUGGGGGGAGUACAAUAGAAUGGUAACUGGUCAUGUUUUUGUUAUACUUUUUUUUUUUUUAUAGUUAUACCUAUCAUUAUAUUAGAGUUUCAGUAAGACUCAACUCUAAUUGAAUAAUUAUACCUAUAUAUAAAGCAAGAUUAAAGAUUAAAUUGCAAAUUGAAAAUUGUAUAAAAUGUAAGAUUUGAGUAAAGCUUCUGACUUGACUAAUAAAUUGUAAAUUGAUUUGAAAGAAAAAAAAAAUAGUUGUUUGAUAUGUGAAAUUUUGAAAAUUUCUAGUGUAAAAUGAAUUAAAAAUUGAAUAUUAUAAAAAUAUGAAAAUUUUUCAGUAAAAAAAGAGAAAAAUGAAAUAUAUUAAAAUUUAGAAUAAAAAAUGCAAGGAAUGGGGGCACUUGUAAUGAUAUUGUAAUAAAUAAAAAUAAAAAAAAUAGGUUUAAUGGAUAUUAAAUGGUGUGAGACGAAUAUUGAGUAAGGCGUGUAAAAAAUAGUGUUUUUUAAUUGAUUUUAAUGCGUUGCGGGGUUGUUAGCUAUUACAGUUGGAAAUAUUGAAAAUUUCGAAGUAGAUGGGUAAUUGGGUAGAGGGCAGGUGACUGGUUGGACACGUCGAUAAGUAGGUUGUCGGUAAUAAUAGUAUUGGAGAGUCGGUAUCUGGGAUGUGGGUAAAAUAGUGAUAAGAGUUUUAUGGGUAACCGACUGGAAGCGUCGGUAACUGGACUGAAGGUAAUGUCAGUCGUCAGUCGGUAUGUCGGCGAUGGGUAAAUAGUGAUUACAGCUUUAGGGGUAACUGGUUUCAUGCGUCGAUAAUUGUACUGAUGGUAAUGCGAUUGGUAAUUUUUGACUUAUAUAUGAAAUAUAAAAUUAAUAUAUUAAGUGAUUAUUCAAAAUUUAAUUUAAAAAUACUUUCAUUAUUGAAUUAAAUUGAAUUGAAAAUUUUUUAAUCUAAUAAAUUUCGAAUUGACAAAUUAUAUUUAAUAGUUUUAUCUAUUUGUAAAAAUCUGAAAAAAUGUUAUGUUUAUAACGUUAAAAGAUAUAAUUAUUUAUAUUAAAAAUAAUUGAAAGUUAUGUACUUUGAUUUCUAUCAAAAAAUAUAAUUGCUUUUAUAUGUUUAUUUUAUUAAUUUGAAAUAAUUAUUAUUGAAUAUAAAUUUUUGUAGAAAUAACUUUCUUAACUUUUAUUGUUUCAAUAGUAGAAGUUAUGUGGGGGCAAAAUCAAUACAACAACAAUACAAUACAAUACAAUACAACAACAAUAUAAUACAACAACACAAUAUAGCAAUACAAUAUAUACAAUAUUAUUUAUUAAAUAGAUUUAG